rnacentral:rRNA from 1 species
UAGGGAAUCUUCGGCAAUGGACGGAAGUCUGACCGAGCAACGCCGCGUGAAUGAAGAAGGUUUUCGGAUCGUAAAGCUCUGUUGUUAGAGAAGAACGUUGGUAGGAGUGGAAAAUCUACCAAGUGACGGUAACUAACCAGAAAGGGACGGCUAACUACGUGCCAUCAGCCGCGGUAAUACGUAGGUCCCGAGCGUUGUCCGGAUUUAUUGGGCGUAAAGCGAGCGCAGGCGGUUCUUUAAGUCUGAAGUUAAAGGCAGUGGCUUAACCAUUGUACGCUGUGGAAACUGGAGGACGUGAGUGCAGAAGGGUAGAGUGGAAUUCCAAUUGUAGCGGAGAAAUGCGUAGAUAUAUGGAGGAACACCGGUGGCGGAAGCGGCUCUCUGGUCUGUAACUGACGCUGAGGCUCGAAAGCGUGGGGAGCAAACAGG